rnacentral:rRNA from 1 species
GUCCACGCUGUAAACGAUGUCGACUUGGAGGUUGUGCCCUUGAGGCGUGGCUUCCGGAGCUAACGCGUUAAGUCGACCGCCUGGGGAGUACGGCCGCAAGGUUAAAACUCAAAUGAAUUGACGGGGGCCCGCACAAGCGGUGGAGCAUGUGGUUUAAUUCGAUGCAACGCGAAGAACCUUACCUACUCUUGACAUCCAGAGAAUUCGCUAGAGAUAGCUUAGUGCCUUCGGGAACUCUGAGACAGGUGCUGCAUGGCU